UACUCUCUCUCUCUCUCUCUCUCUCUCUCAAAAAGAAAGCAACCAAGCCAGGUCAAGGUUGGUACUAGCAGCUCCUGCCCAGUUUUGAUAGAUGUGGGCAAGACAUCCUAGCCCACAAAUGGACUGGUAUCCUGCACCCAUCUUGAGUACUAGUUCCUUGUUGGAACAGUACGGUACCGGUGAUAUCCAAACCAUUCUACCAUUACAUAAAAUCUUGCCUGCAAACAUGAAUGCCCUGACUACACUCAUGCAUGCAUUGCACUAUAUGGCUCAAGAAUAAUUCUAGAGAUUGCAAGGUGCCAUUCUCUGUUUUAUCCAUGUAACUGCAGUACCGCUUAGGUUUACCUAAUCACUAGCAGAGAGAGAGAGUGGGGGGGACAAAAAAUAAGAUGAAAAGAAAAGGGAGAAAACAAAAUAAGUCAAAAGUAGGAGGAAGCAAUACCCACAAGAUAUAAGGUGAAUAAAGGGAACAGCAACAUAAACAAAGAAGGAAAGAGAAAUUUCACUUUGUAGAGCUGAAUAACUUCUCAAGUGUUUUAUAACUUCCAAAAGUUCCUCUUGAGUCUUCCUUGCAUUGCUAACAACCUAAGGCUUUUAUAACCCAUCACAUGCUUAAUCAUUGGCAUGAUUCCAUCCAAUUGUAUUAAUACCUCAUUCUUCCUUAGAACUCAAAACAACAAGAAAGCUUUCGUGCAAACAAAUACCAACUUCUAUAUUCCUCAUCAUCUGCAUAAAGUGAAUUUCUAGUGGGACUGUGUGACAGCCUAUUGCCCUCGUGUUUGGGGGCGGCCCAAUACAUUUGGAGGCCUAAGGCGGAUUCAGUGAAUGAGGCCUUUUUUUAUAUAUAAUAAAUAUAAAAUAUUUUAAAAAAAGAUAUGAAAAUAGAUAGCUAUCAAGCACACUAUUUCAAGGAAGAUACAUGAAUGCAACAAAAACCGAUAAAAAGUCUUUUCAGUUUAAUAUAAUUUUUGAAUGGAGGUAUGGAAAAGUAAUUACGCUAAGGAAAAGCCCAUAAAACUGAUUAAAUAACUGAGAUAAUGCUUGGCAGUAAUGUUUACCAUGUCAAGCAAGAGCAGAAUAGGAAAAGGUUAUCCUAUGGCACUUCAUGGUCAAGGUAAAGGAAAUAAUU
rnacentral:lncRNA from 1 species